GAUGAACGCUGGCGGCAUGCCUAACACAUGCAAGUCGAACGAAUCUUUCGGGAUUAGUGGCGGACGGGUGAGUAACGCGUGAGAAUCUGCCUCGAGGAUGGGGACAACAGUUGGAAACGACUGCUAAUACCCAAUAUGCCUAACGGUGAAAUUUUUUAGCCUUGAGAGGAGCUCGCGUCCGAUUAGUUAGUUGGUGGGGUAAAAGCCUACCAAGGCAGCGAUCGGUAGCUGGUCUGAGAGGAUGAGCAGCCACACUGGGACUGAGACACGGCCCAGACUCCUACGGGAGGCAGCAGUGGGGAAUUUUCCGCAAUGGGCGAAAGCCUGACGGAGCAAUACCGCGUGAGGGAGGAAGGUUUUUGGAUUGUAAACCUCUUUUUUAAAGGAAGAAGAAAAUGACGGUACUUUAAGAAUAAGCAUCGGCUAACUCCGUGCCAGCAGCCGCGGUAAUACGGAGGAUGCAAGCGUUAUCCGGAAUCAUUGGGCGUAAAGCGUCCGCAGGUGGCUACUCAAGUCUGCUGUUAAAGACAGAAGCUCAACUUCUGAACAGUAGUGGAAACUGGAUAGCUAGAGUAUGGUAGGGGUUGAGGGAAUUCCCAGUGUAGCGGUGAAAUGCGUAGAUAUUGGGAAGAACACCAGUGGCGAAGGCGCUCAACUGGGCCAUAACUGACACUCAGGGACGAAAGCUAGGGUAGCGAAAGGGAUUAGAUACCCCUGUAGUCCUAGCUGUAAACGAUGAACACUAGGCGUUGCUUGUAUCGACCCGAGCAGUGCCGUAGCCAACGCGUUAAGUGUUCCGCCUGGGGAGUACGCACGCNAGUGUGAAACUCAAAGGAAUUG
rnacentral:rRNA from 1 species